rnacentral:lncRNA from 1 species
UCUCUGUGCUAUUUCCAUUGCAGGAUCUGGACUCCCCUGAGAUGGCAACUGCAGCCACAGUUGUGCUGACUUUUUAACAAUGCACUAAGGUGUGACAGAUGAACCCCUGCUGUGUUUCAACAGGAUUUUGCAGCAUCAGAUGCAUAGAAGUUUGCAGGUACUAAUGGAAAACUAUACCAUAUGCUACUUUUGUGGUAAUGAACUCGGCCCUGUGGGAGAUCACUGAUCCUAUGCUGGCACCUGAGAACAUGUCAGAAUUCAUCCAGAACCCUCUCUCUGCAAAAUCACUGCGAAGAUUCAAAGGGAGCUUUCAGCAGCAGGCCCCAGUAAGCUCAGUCACAAACCUGCUUUUAAAUGCUACUCAUCAAAACAAGUAAGAAGAAACAACAUGUAUGAUACAGGAGCAGAGCUGACAUUGAAUUAAACAGAUUCUGAGCUUCCCCAGGAGAACUCUGAAGCACUUACAGAAGAAAAAUCAGCCUGCACUACUUCUACACAGGAAGUGAGUGCCUUCUAUGUGGGAAUUGCUAAAUUUUCUUGUUUUUUCCUCUCUCCUCUAGUGUCUGUAUUACACAGGGAUUUAGAGUGGAAAAAGAAAGGUCGCAGUCCUGAAAGAAGCUUUCAGAAAAGGUGGGAAAAGGGUAACAUCAAAAAGG